rnacentral:rRNA from 1 species
UACGUAGGGGGCUAGCGUUGUCCGGAAUCAUUGGGCGUAAAGCGCGUGUAGGCGGCCCGGUAAGUCCGCUGUGAAAGUCGGGGGCUCAACCCUCGAAAGCCGGUGGAUACUGUCGGGCUCGAGUGCGGAAGAGGCGAGUGGAAUUCCCGGUGUAGUGGUGAAAUGCGUAGAGAUCGGGAGGAACACCAGUGGCGAAGGCGGCUCGCUGGGCCGGUCCUGACGCUGAGACGCGAAAGCGUGGGGAGCGAACAGG